ACAAGCAGUAAGCGCUUGAGACUGGCGGAUCGACCGCAGGGCAUGUAGAUAGCAGU
rnacentral:sRNA from 1 species